rnacentral:rRNA from 1 species
AGUGAACGCUGGCGGCAGGCCUAACACAUGCAAGUCGAACGGCAGCACAGGGGAGCUUGCUCCCUGGGUGGCGAGUGGCGGACGGGUGAGGAACACAUCGGAAUCUGCCUAUUUGUGGGGGAUAACCUCGGGAAACCGGGACUAAUACCGCAUACGACCUACGGGUGAAAGCCGGGGACCUUCGGGCCUGGCGCAGAUAGAUGAGCCGAUGUCGGAUUAGCUAGUUGGAGGGGUAAAGGCCCACCAAGGCGACGAUCCGUAGCUGGUCUGAGAGGAUGAUCAGCCACACUGGGACUGAGACACGGCCCAGACUUCUACGGGAGGCAGCAGUGGGGAAUAUUGGACAAUGGGCGCAAGCCUGAUCCAGCCAUGCCGCGUGAGUGAAGAAGGCCCUCGGGUUGUAAAGCUCUUUUGUUGGGAAAGAAAGGCAGCCGGUUAAUACCCGGUUGUUCUGACGGUACCCAAAGAAUAAGCACCGGCUAACUUCGUGCCAGCAGCCGCGGUAA